UGCCAUCGAAUAAUGCGGAGGUAC
rnacentral:siRNA from 1 species